UGAGGAAUAUUGGUCAAUGGACGCAAGUCUGAACCAGCCAUGCCGCGUGAAGGAUGAAGGCCUUCUGGGUUGUAAACUUCUUUUACCUGGGAAGAAACCUCAGUUUUCUAACUGAGUUGACGGUACCAGAGGAAUAAGCACCGGCUAACUCCGUGCCAGCAGCCGCGGUAAUACGUAGGUGGCAAGCGUUGUCCGGAUUUAUUGGGUUUAAAGGGUGCGUAGGCGGUUCUUUAAGUCAGUGGUGAAAUACGGCAGCUCAACUGUCGAGGUGCCAUUGAUACUGGGGAACUUGAGUACUGAUGAGGUAGGCGGAAUGGACGGUGUAGCGGUGAAAUGCUUAGAUAUCGUCCAGAACACCGAUAGCGAAGGCAGCUUACUAAGGAGUAACUGACGCUGAGGCACGAAAGUGUGGGGAUCAAAC
rnacentral:rRNA from 1 species